UGUCCAUGGUUGGGAAUCGAACCCACACUGUUCCGCUUACCGGGCAGAUGCCAUGUCCACUAGGCUACCCUGGAC